rnacentral:tRNA from 1 species
AAGAUUACCCAAGUCUGGUUGAAGGGAUCGGUCUUGAAAACCGACAGGCGGUGAAAUCCGCGCGGGGGUUCGAAUCCCUCAUAUUAGUGC